rnacentral:rRNA from 1 species
GACGAACGCUGGCGGCGUGCUUAACACAUGCAAGUCGAACGGAAAGGCCCUGCUUUUGUGGGGUGCUCGAGUGGCGAACGGGUGAGUAACACGUGAGUAACCUGCCCUUGACUUUGUGAUAACUUCAGGAAACUGGGGCUAAUACCGGAUAGGAGCUCCUGCUGCGUGGUGGUGGUUGGAAAGUUUCGGCGGUUGUGGAUGUACUCGCGGCUUAUCAGCUUGUUGGUGGGGUAGUGGCUUACCAAGGCUUUGGCGGGUAGGCGGCCUGAGAGGGUGACCGGCCACAUUGGGACUGAGAUACGGACCAGACUCCUACGGGAGGCAGCAGUGGGGAAUAUUGCACAAUGGGCGGAAGCCUGAUGCAGCAACGCCGCGUGCGGGAUGACGGCCUUCGGGUUGUAAACCGAUUUCGCAUGUGACGAAGAGUGAGUGACGGUAAUGGGUAAAGAAGCACCGGCUAACUACGUG